rnacentral:snoRNA from 1 species
CCCCUUUUAAAAGCACUUAAUAGGCCUUUUGCUAGUGACUCACUGAGCCAUUAAGAAAGGGUGAAGCAGCAGCAUCUUGUGUUGUUUUGCUUCAAUCAGUGGUGUAGUAAAG